rnacentral:rRNA from 1 species
GUAGGUGGCAAGCGUUGUCCGGGAAUCAUUGGGCGUAAAGCGCGCGCAGGCGGUUCUUUAAGUCUGAUGUGAAAGCCCACGGGCUCAACCGUGGAGGGUCAUUGGAAACUGGAGAACUUGAGUACAGAAGAGGAAAGCGGAAUUCCACGUGUAGCGGUGAAAUGCGUAGAGAUGUGGAGGAACACCAGUGGCGAAGGCGGCUUUCUGGUCUGUAACUGACGCUGAGGCGCGAAAGCGUGGGGAGCAAACAGGAUUAGAUACCCUGGUAGUCCACGCCGUAAACGAUGAGUGCUAAGUGUUAGGGGGUUUCCGCCCCUUAGUGCUCCAGCUAACGCAUUAAGCACUCCGCCUGGGGAGUACGGCCGCAAAGGCUG